UUCACCUUUGAUUUCAUCGAGUUGUACAAAUUGUUUGUAUUGUGUUUCCGUGAUUUGUUUAAUUUCAAUUAACUGUUUACAUGAUUCUCCUUUAAUUUGCUUGAUUAAGUGUUUGUUUAAUGUUGCAUGAUGCAACCUUUAACACAUUUCGUUUACCAAAAAUAUUAGUCACUUUGUCCCUUUCUGUCUAUCUGUCUCUCUCUUUCCCUCUCUUUCAAUUGUUAACUUGAACAACGUCUUUUUUCUAUUCUUGUGUAAUUUUUUUCCCUUCUAAACUCUUUUAUAGCUUCCAUAAUCUUGUGUGUUGCCUGUUUAACCAAAAGGUGAAAAAAGUGAACGUUAAUGUUCAUAGUUAACAUAAUGGGUUUCACCUUUGGUCCAAUAAAAUAGUGAUCUUGAGUUUUUCCUUUUAUCGUUCAAAUGAUGUCUAUGAGUAAGAGGAGGGAGCAGAAGAAAGUGAACGUUUUUCCUUGGUUCUCAUUCUUUUGAUACUAGGAUGGAGGAGAAAAUAAAUGACCAAAAAAGUGGAAUGAAAAUGAUUGAACCACAUCUCUGUUAUGAUUAAGGAUGAAAUGGCAAGGAAAAAGAAAUGGAAAACGGUCAAUCUGUAAAAGAAAAAAGGUUACAAUAAACAAAGAUAGUGGAGACAAUUACAGGAGAACAUGGAUGAAAUUAUUGUUUGUUGGCCCAGUGUAAAGUGAAGUAUUAUUAGGAAAAAAAAGUGAUGAUAAAAAACAGGAAGACAGAAGAUGAAGAACAAGAAGUCAUCAGUAACGUUAUCAACCAUUACCUGAAACAUCAUUUUUCUUUCUCCCUUCAACAUUUUUGCGCUGCUAAACUACUUUUACUUCUUUUUCUCUCUUCCUUUCCCAGUUAUUGCAUUUUGACUCUACUCUUUCUCCUGUUUCUGUUUCAUCCUGAUGUUCACUUGAAUCUUGAUAGAUAGAAAAGGUAAUGAUGUAGUUACCUGGGGAUGAUAACUAUAAUAAUGUUAAUAAUAAUAUUAGCUAUAAUAAUAGUGAACCUUAAAGGCUUAUGUGACAAGUGACAGUGAAACUUGAUACUAUUAUUAACCUGAGAAAGAUUCUUGUAGUCAAAUUAUCCAUUUGACCAUUGAUUUUGUUUCUUUCAAGAUAACCUGCUAUUUGUUUACUCCUGGAUGAAUGUUAACUUUUCAUGGCGAAAGAAGAAAAAAAAGAACAAAACGAAUUGUCAUUGUUAUGAUUCGUUUUGUCCACUCAAGUACGUUUCCAGUGAGUCAAUUUUUAAUUACAUUGCCAGAUGAAAGUUACUUUUUGGAAAGGCAAUGAAAUGAAUCAUUCAUUCACAAAGUUUCAAAAUCAUUAACUAUACCUCAUCAUCAUAAUCAUCAUCAUUAUGGUAAUGAUUUAUGAUUAACGAGCUUUAACGAUGUAUCAAGAAAUGGAGAUCAACUUUUGAAUUGAGUGUGUAUAAAAUUGACCCAAGGAUGGAAAGGAGAUUAAAAGCAACAACCAAAAAGAGGAAAGAGCAAGAGCAAGUGAAAAAAAUGUCUACAGUUAAAGUAAAGUGUGAAUAGUUUUUCUUGGUAAUAACUACAGAAAAGGAAAGGUCUGCAAAUUUGUAAAGCUUACGAUUGACAUGAUAUGAGAGAAGCAGCACAAAAAGUGAGCAAAGGAGCAAAGAAACCAAUUGGAAAAGGAGUCGAAUGGAAAAAAAAGCAAUGAAUGAAGAGAAAAGAUUUCUACUUUUUCAUGAGGAUGAUUCAAGGAAGAAGCAAAAAGAACAACUUGAAGAAAAAGAACUGAUGACAGAGUAAAAAAGAGCAAGGAGCAGAAAAAGAUGAUAAUGAUGAUGAUGCUGAUGAUGAUGAUGAAGUCAAGAAAGAAAUCAAAGGAAAGAAGGAAAAGAGAAUGAAAGGAGAAAAGAUAGAGAAGGAAGGAAAAGUAAAGGAGAAGAAAAGAGCAAAAGACUGAAAGUUAUCAAUAGGAUUUUGAUUUGUUAUUGAAUAAAACAUCGUAUUGAGCCUGUUGAAAAGAGAAGUAAAAGAAAGUGAAUCGUUCUUUUGCUCAUCUCUUUAUAAUGCUUAUAUAAAAUUAUAGUUUUAUACACAUAAACAGACAGUUACAAAUACACUUACAAGUCAAUAUCUCUCUCCCUCUUUGACUGUGUGUGUGUGCCUGUGUCUUCACUGCAUGUCCGUGUAAAAGUGUGUAUAACAUCAACAACUAGAAGAAUGAUUACCUCUUCUUCAUCAGCAUGAAAAUUUCCAUUGGAUCAUCUCCAUACAUCAUUUGCCUCAUUAUAUUCAAUCUUCCUGUAACCAAUUUAUCCAACUUUGUAGUUUUACAAGUUUCAUACAUUCAAUCCAACCAACAAAAACAUCAACAAGAAGAGCAACAUCAAUAUCAACCAAGACUAACACACGAAGGACAAAGAAUAAGCUGAAUAAAAAUGGAAAAAGGAUGGAAAUGCGAAGAACAAGAACUAAAGAAAUAAUAAUAAUCAUAGCAAUAAUGAUAAUGAUAAUCAUAAUAAAAAAACAAGUUACAUCGAAAGAAUGAAAAAAAAGCAAAAGGAAAAAGAGGAAAAGAAUAAGAAGAGCAACUUAUGAAAAGUUAUUCAGUCAAGUGUGGAGUGAGUCGGAAGUUUGGUGAUUUAUAACAACAAGGGUCGAUAGAAGGAGGAUGAUUAGAGUUGGAUGAAUCUAAAUGAAGAAAAUAAAAAGAUGGCGUCGAAAAUAAUUCAAAGUGAAUCAGUGGAAAGUGAUUUAAAUCAAUAAAUGAAUUACUUUACAAAAUGUUCAUCCAUAAACGUGAUACGUUCAAAGCAAGAGACGAAUAGUGAAAGUAAAGAAUGAAAAGAGCAAAAAGGGAGAAACAAUCUGAAUCAUCAUGAAAUGAAUGGAAAAAAAUAAGAUGCUCCUUAAUUGUAAAAAUGUCUCAGUUAUAAAUGAACUGAAUAAAGUAAAUUACAUGAAAUUGGAAA